AGACGGUGAACUAGCAUGUAUGCAAUUUUUACAAAUUUCUCCUGAAAGUUAAGUGUGUAUGAGUGUGUUUGUGAAGGAUUUGCAUCGUUUUUUUUUUUCCUGGUGUAAAAUCCUGUAAAUGUUAAACUUGUAAAUAGUUAAAUAUAAAAUACUUGCGUUCGCUGAUUAUUUAAUUGGAUAUGAAUUGAACAUAUUUGGCAACAAGAUGAGCACGUGAUCGGUGGGGGAGGGGAGCAACGGUUAGCGUCUGAUACCAGAGAAAAGUCUCUGUGAAUAAAACGGAUAUUAUCUCAAAUAUAAUCUCGAUUACAGAUUGCAGAUAACGAGGAUAUGAAGAACAUGAAGAUGGACUGGUUUCACAUGCAGAUGUUGCAGCAUCUGCAUCUGAGGUUGAGAAGACACUCAAUCUACCUGCCAAUCCUCAUCUGAUUUUGCUGGGUUAGUGUGUCAUUGCACAUGAUGAAGAAGAAACAUUUACUGAUGGCUGAGAUCUAAAAUUGUUAACAUUGCUGUUGUGCACAAUUGUUAAUAUUGCUUCUUUUUUUUCUUUUCUUUUUGUG